CGAAUCCAGAGCGUAGUGCUCUACUUCUCUAAUUGCUAUCUAAUCAACCUCUAAACUUGAAGGAUUAGGGAGUAGCUAAUUCUAAUUCUCUGUGGGAGAGAAGCUCUAAACCCUAACUUUGGUGGCUACCUCUGAAUAAUGAUUUCUCCUCUCUCCUCCAGGGGCCAGGGGGUCUGGUUUUAUAGUCCCCUCAAGUGAACGUGAGCCAUUGGAUCAAACCGACAUAGAUUGUAUGGUUUAGAUUGAUCCUUUAGGUCGGUGGAGUGUAGUCCCAAAGCAGAGUCCUGAUUGGCGUCCUGGCCAGGGCGGGCGCCCAAGAGGGGUGGGCGGGCGCCCAGCCCCCGAGCCCGAAUUGCUUCCCGUUCGUUCCCGUGGCUUCUGGACCCUUCUAGAUCAAGGAAAAUUGCGCGGCACGUAAUUAUCUCGUUGUAAACAUGACAUGUGGGCCUUCUCUCCCUAUUUUCUGAUAAACCCCUGUAGAAAUAGAUAAACACCAAAGCUCGUGGAAUUCUGUCAGAUAAAACCCUAAUUCUAGAUGUUUGUUUCAUAUUGAUCCUUUUUCAUGUUUAUUUGAUUAUUAAUUUUAGUACUUAAGGACCGUCAACAAACUCCCCCAAGCUUACCCUUUGCUCGUCCCUGAGCAAAUAGCUAAACUCAGACGGAUCAGAAGUUGCUUCGAUGUUUUCUUUCCUCACAGGCACACAUGCUUUUACAUAAAAAUUCUUCCAGAUUAGAGUGAAGUGUUAUGAAGUUUAGUACCUGUACUGAAGUCUUAAGUAAUCGAAAGACAAAAUAGUUAAGUCAAGCACUAUCCCUCCAGUCUAUACUUCACCUUUGUUCUAGAGUUUUUCAUAAGUUUUCAAAAUAAAACUCAGAGUUCCCAGCAAUGAUUCUCUCAAGUCUCUCUAUAUGUGGUAUUUGUGGAUCCUUACCAUAAUGUCACUUACCUAUAGCUAAUGGAAUAUUUAAGUGGAGCUCAUAGGAGUGGAAAACAGCUCAUACAUAUGUUGUCUAAUUGAGCCAUGGAUCCAAAGGAACUCAGCAUAUAAUUAAAUCAAGAUGUGCAUGUGUGAUGGAGUAAAUGAUAGUGAAAAUGCAUUAGUGAUAAUAAAACUUAGUUCUCAUUGUUCCUUAUAUUGCUAUCCCUCCUCUUCUUUGAUCUUUGCUUUGGGAGAACAUGGGCUAUCUUUUUCUCUUCUCUCUCUCUUUUUUUUCAGGUGGGUAGUAGAUAUCCCUAAUUCUACUGUUGGACACUUGUCCAUUUUUUCCGCUCAAGUGGGCAUCUUUGUACCCCUAAUUCUACUUCGGACACUUGUCCAUUUUUACCUCUCAUCUCACUCUUUUUUUUCCGAGGUUCCGGGCACUUGCCCCUUUUUAUUUCCUCGUAUAUUUUUGCAUAACCCAUGCCUCUUCUACAUUGAAUCUUCUUAGAGAGAGAGUAUAACAAUAUUCGGGACAGUGAGUGAAAAUAUUUUUUAGCAAUUUUAAUGAUUGGUGAUGAAUGCUGUGGUAGAUGUGUGCAAGUGAAUAUCUUAAUUUAACCAUAUGAAAAGCUCCUAAGGGUCUACACAGCUCGAUCAAACUCAAUGUGAAUAUAGUAAAAGAUGUUAUAGUAAGUAUGGCUGUGGUAGGUAAUUUUGUUAUGCUAGGAACUCAUCAUGUGAUUUGUAAGUUUUCAAAAAUAAAUCUCUAGAACUUGGUGUAGUAGGAACAAGAUAAACAGUAGCUCAACUUUAUAUCAUGCCUUUCUCUUACCUAGACUUUAGUUUUAUGCUUCCCAAAGAUAGUAAUUUUAGUUUUAGUAAUUCCUGGAAGAAUUCUAAUAUAAAAGCUAGGUACUUGUAAGUAAGCAAACAGAGCAACUGUUCAUCAUUUCCAUCAUGCAUAUUUUUGGUCUUUUUAUUAUUAUUAUUUUUUUAGAAAUUAAAAUAAAGCACACUUAUCUAUACACUCUUUUUAUUUUGUUUUCAUGUUUAUAAAGUGCAGUAAAUUAAAGCAAGAAAAUAUUUAUUUGGUUUUCUAAGUUUUUCUUUUUUAAGAUGAAUUAAAAUACUAAAAUAGAAAAGAAUAAAUAAGAAGAGCAAAUAAAAACUUACUUGAUAAAUUGAGGAGGAACUCCCCCAAGCUGGAUGUUGAUGUCGGUCUUACCCGAAGUUCCAGAACCGCAUCAUGGUUGUGAUGUUAUUGUUCAUUGUUGUUGUAUCUUGUCUCAGCUCUUCUACUGCAGCGGCAUGGUCCUGGUCCCAUUUUUGUUGCUCUUCCAGGAGUCUUCCAUGUUCUGCUUGCGUGUUCUGGAUGUCGAGGAGGGUGUUGUCGGUACGAGUGAAGAAAGCACCGGCCUCUUGAUAGUAGUCAUUCGUGAAGGCGUAGGAGGCGUGGGAGUAUCGUCCUGCAUCAAAUUGGGGUGGAGGUCUAGAUCCUGAAGCUCCAUAUGGAUCAGUGGAGUACCUGCCCGUAUGAAAAGGCGGGUUUGUCCACUGGUGAUCUUGGCUCUCCGGCCAUGUCUCUUCUGUUCGCUCUUGUGGUUGCGCAUGACGAGCCCACGGGUCUCGAAGGACUCGUGGAUUGUAAUCGCAAUAAUGCAGGUGCGCUGCUUCUUCUGGUCCAGGGUCAGCUCCAUACCAAGUGCGUUCUCGGUGAGUGGUUAUCCUUUCAGAUGCCACUCGCUGUGGAGUUCUCUGGUUCACUGGUGUUGCUGCAAUCUCAAUCAAAAAGUUUUGCACAGCGUAGAGGCCAAGAUUCGGGUUAGGUAACCGAAUCUUGCCUUUAUCAUCAUAUAGCCUAUACAUUAUAUUUCCCUCUUUCUUUAACAUCCGAGCUUGUCUAAAUGUGUCAUAGCCUAUGAAGUCCAAUGAUGAGUUUUCUAGUAAGUGAAGAUUAGUGGCUAGACGAGUGAUAAGUGAAGUACAUCCUACUGGUCCCUGCAGACUAGGUAUACUAAGCCAAUGUGAAACUAAAAUAGCAGCAUAUAAAAGUUGUAAAUCUCCUACUCUUACUUUCCUAAUAUCGUCACGAUAGAAAAGAUUGUACCCAAGCCAUUUGUGAAACAUCCUAAGAGUGGGGUGUUCCAUGUCACUGGUUCGGGCUUGACUAUAAAAAUUAUCUCUAGAUAUUUCUCUCCAAAACUGGUGUCUCUCAAAAUUGGGUAAAUCGGAGUCAAUGUUUAGGAUGCAUCUUGAAGAGAAACCAAGAUGGUCGCUCAGCUCUCUCCAAGAUAACAUAAUUUCCUGUUUAAACAUCCGAAAAGCAAUUCCCCCCUCAUAGUAUUGUAAAGUGCAAAGAAAUUCGAGGGUGAGAAGACGAGAACCUAGCUCAGUUAUAUUCCAAAAAUUUGUCCAACCCAUCAUUUGAAAAAUUAAGUCAAAUUCAGUGUCCAUACCUGUUUCUCGUAGUAGGAUUGGAUCGAUAGUAGGGGUGUGAAUAAAAUCUUUGUUCUUCAACUGCUGAUAGACUUCCUUCUCUCUUCGGGUCUUCAGUCCAAGGUCUCCUAUCUUGAGAAGGACCUUAACUUGCUGACCUGAUGAAGAUGAUGGCGCUUGUGUGGGUGUCGGGUCGACGCUCAUCUCUGAUGGCUGUGAGGAGUGUCGGGUUGAACUCCUUGUACCAAUGUUCUUAAGAGCCUUCCCUGCAUUCUUCACCUUCUUAAACAUCCUGCAAACAAAAGUUGGCAAAAACACAACUGGUGGAAGCUGUGAGAUAAAAUGUUAGUGGUCAGCUGUCCGGAGUGCCAGUAGUCCAGGGGUUAAUCGUUCAAGACAAGUUUCUAUUUUGGUAGAGCCUCCCCCUAAACAACUUUUACUUCUGCUUAGACAACGGGAUCACUACUUGCUAGGUGACAAUCACUCUCUCAAAAGAACUCCAACCUUCCCUUCCACUCUCCUCUUUCUCUCUACUCUCUUCUCUUCACUACAAAAGCUCCUUCUCGGGAAACUGAGAUUUGUGUGGUUUUCUGAAGUGUUUGUGUGAAGAGAUGGGAAACUGGAGGUGGCCUUUUAUAGGCUGAGCAGGGGACAGGGCAGGCGAACAAGGUAGGUGGGUGGGCGCCCACCCCUGGUGUCCAUCCUGGGUGUGCCUCCUCCGCAUGCUUCCUUGCUUUGAUCUCACGCAGAAUAAUAUUAUGUUGGUGGUGGUUGGACGGUGGAAAGAUGUCAAGUGAGUGGAAACAUAUUGGUGGAUGAAAUUAUGUGAUGGGAUGUAUGUGAGAUGAAGUGUAUGACAUGUGGGACCCAGGGAGUGUGGGUCAUGCUUCUAGAAGAUUACUAUAAUAUAAUGUAAUGCAGGAAAAUCUAUGAGAAUUGAAACUUAAUGAAAAUGAUAUUGGAAAAUAUUUUUUUUGUGCCUCCACAAUAAUAAAUAUGGGUUGUUACAUACCAUGAAUAUUAUUUAUAUGGGGCUUUUUGAUUAUAAUUAUGCUAUGACUAAUGCAAGAAUUAAUUAUGCAAGAAUUUAAACAUGAGAAUAUUAAUAGUGCGGAUAAAUACCGAUUUACCUUCCGGUGAGGGUUUGGGAUUUUUAGGUCCCCCAAGCUGGACCUCCAAAUCUUUUAAUCUUCUGAGUUUCCUUCCUCCGGAGAUGGUGUCUCCAGUGGUUCUUCAUGAACUUCCUUCACUGUAGAGUCUCUCUCUGGUCUGGGUUUGAAUGUGAAGUGUUCUUCUUGACCGUUUAUGUUGAACUUGAUUUCUCCUUUUCCGACAUCAAUGUGGGCAUUGGCAGUGCUCAGAAAUGGCCUUCCAAGGAUGAUGGACACUUUCGAGUCAGGACUCAUGUCCAGUACUACGAAGUCUACUGGCACCAGGAAAUCUCUGAUCUUGACUGGAAUGUUCUCGGCGAUGCCCAACGGGUGUCAAACCGAUUGAUCCGCUAGUUGUAGGCACAUUGAUGUUGGUUCUAAGGUUGCAUGAUCAAGCUUUUUGUAGACUGAUGCUGGCAUCACACUGACACUUGCUCCGAGAUCACAAAGUGCAUUAUUGAAGUGUUGGUUUCCAAUUGAGCAAUCAAUAGUGGGACAUCCAGGAUCUUCCUUCUUCUUUGGUGGUUUAUUGAGGAUGGCCGCACUACAUUCUUCUGUCAGUUUGAUAACCUCAGUGGUGUGCAGUGGUCUCUUCUUGUUAAGAAUAUCUCUGAUGUACUUUGCAUAUGUAGGUACCUGUACGGCAUCUAGCAGAGGUAUAUUGACAUAUAAUUUCUGAAUGACCUCUACAAACUUACCAAACUGCUCAUCCGACUGCAGUCCUCUGUUUCUUCUGGGAAAUGGCAAAUAGUUGGUGUCAUAAAAAUCUUUCCUCAUUUCUCUAGUUCUUGGUGGUUGUAGCAGAUCUUCUGCUUCAACUGGGCUUUCUUCUUCUAUCACUGCUGGUUGCACUGGUGCUGAUGUUCUUUGUUUCUCUUUUGGGUAUGGUGGAUCUCUGGUAGCUUUGCCUCCUCUAGUAGUUAUAUUCUUUACCUGCUCAAGGUUAGUAGCAACAGGCAGUGCAGCAGCUAACUUUAUUAAUUUAAGCUCUACCCUUUUAUUAAGAGUGUUUUGCUCAUCAAAGGCAGUUAGUAGAAAAUCCAUUUUAUUGUGUAUAUCUUUUAGAGAUGAUUCAUUUGUAUCUAGCCUUUGUUUAACUUCAUCAUUGAUUUUGGUUUGUUGAGCAAUUAUCUCUUUUAAUGAAAGUUGUUUGACAGUAUUACCUGAAUUCAUACCUUUGCUAUUGGGUUGACUCGAAGUUGGUUGAUAUUUGUAUGCUGUCUCAAUGGCCCUUUGAUCUUCUUUGAACUUGGCCCUCUGGUCAAUCCAACGGAGCAAAUUUUCCAUCUUAGUUGAUAAUGCAUUUACUUCUUCCGGUAUUUCUUCAGUUUGAUGACAUUGUUGAGCUUUAUCUUGGAACCAGCUUUAGUUUUCUGCUAUCUUAUCCAAAAGUAUCUCUGCUUUUCCAGUUGUAAGCUCCAAGAAUGAUCCUUUAGCAGAUGCAUCUAGGCACUCACGACUCUUCUGGGUUAAUCCAUGGUAGAAGGUCUGCAUAAGUAACCAUGUGGCCAUUCCAUGGUGAGGACAAUCUGAUAUGUAUCCUUGAAAACGCUCCCAUGCUUCUGAAAUGGCUUCUGUCUUCUGCUGUUGGAAACUGACACUAUUUCCUCUUAAGGCAGUUGUUUUGCCUAUAGGGAAAAACUUUGAUAGAAAGGCAUCUGACAAGUUCGUCCAGUUGUUGAUGUUAUCUUGAUGAGUGUAGAACCACUUCCUCGCUUUUCCUUCUAGUGAGAAUGGAAAAAGGCGAAGCAGUAUGACGUCUUUGUCAACUCCGUUGAUGUGGAUUGUGCUUCCAAUCUCUAAGAAAUUCUGCAAGUGUGCACUAGCAUCUUCAUGUGCCUUUCCACUGAAUUGUGUAGCUUGUACCAAAUUGAUGAGGCUUGACUUGAGCUCAAACUCAGGUAUUCCUUCUUCUACUGCAAAUCUUGGACCAGUUGGAUUGUUCUCAAGGCUUGGAGCAGAGAAUUCUUGCAAGGUCUUUUGUGCCAUAGCUUCAGCAAUUGGUAGCUAGCUUCUUCUUCUCUUGAUUGCUUUGGUUCUGAUGAUGAAGAGUUGAAUGUACCCAAAGUCAAUCCUGUUAUACCCUGUAUAAAAAUAUAAACAUAGAAAAACAACAGGGUGAACCUGCCAAAGCAGAGGUGCCUUGUUAUGAUUUCUCACUUAGUAACUAUUUUAUGAAAUUACUUCUCUAUAGUCUAGUCUAAAGUUUUAUAUGAAAUAACCUUGAUUGAUUUUCUCGCUUUCCUAAGCAUUACCCUUUUGUUCCCUUUUAUGACUUAUUCCUGAGACUCGUAUAAUUAUCCUAUAAGAUCCUAUAAAUUCCUAUAAAUUCCCCGGCAACGGCGCCAGAAAUGCUUGUUGACACUAGCUAACACCACUUAGAUACUAGGUUGUCAUCCCUAGCAUGGCGCCAGAGUGUACAAAGGUAUUUAUAAAUGUAAAGGCUCUCUAGAAAAUAAUCUAUUCUAUCCGCAAGCGCACAGAUAAAACACCUCAUUGUAGCAUUUCACCAGGAUAAGUAUUCCAGGUAUCGUUAUUUAUAAUUUUGCUCUAGGGAUCUAAAGAAGAUGGAAUUAAAUCAAGGGACAAAAUCUAUCAAGGCAUAGACUAGAGAUAAACUUGCAAGAACAUGAUUACUAAUGAGAAACUCGUCACACAGUCACUUACUUUAGCAGGGGGUAAACCAUAAAGAUAAUGAUAAUAAAGUAUACGUUCGGGGAUAAAGAGCACAGCGAUUAGAAAAUAGACUACUCCUCAUAUAUGUAGGUGAUGUCGGAUUAGCUAGAGAAUGGAUUCUAAGUUAUCUACUAACUACUAGGUCAUAAUCUACUCUAGUUAUCUACAAGAUCAUAUAUAGCAUAAAAGACUCUUCAUUCAUGUAUAAGGAACAUUGAUAAAGUAAAUCAGAACAUCGCAUGACUUACUCCACAAUACCGGUUCUGCCUGUCCUAUCAACGGAGGGUCGACUAUAUAAGAAUCAACGAAGCUGUCACUAUCGCGAACUACCACACGACUCGGCCAAUAGGAUACAUUUGCAGAUAAAUAACAUCUAAGCACCACGCUCACAUGUGAUCUAUCACUUAACUCCCUCGCGACAAGAGCUAAGCGCUUUGCAAACUUAUACAUAAACCCAUUAUCAAUUAGAACUAUAUCAAAUAUAGAACUAGAGCAAACUAAGAACAUAAUAAUUAGAGACAUAAUGCAAUUAGAACAAUAGAAUUAGAGAAAGAUAUGAAUAAUACCAAUCUUUAUUACCGAAGAUCCGAAUCCAGAGCGUAGUGCUCUACUUCUCUAAUUGCUAUCUAAUCAACCUCUAAACUUGAAGGAUUAGGGAGUAGCUAAUUCUAAUUCUCUGUGGGAGAGAAGCUCUAAACCCUAACUUUGAUGGCUACCUCUGAAUAAUGAUUUCUCCUCUCCUCCAGGGGCCAGGGGGUCUGGUUUUAUAGUCCCCUCAAGUGAACGUGAGCCAUUGGAUCAAACCAACAUAGAUUGUAUGGUUUAGAUUGAUCCUUUAGGUCGAUGGAGCGUAGUCCCGAAGCAGAGUCCUG
rnacentral:lncRNA from 1 species